rnacentral:sRNA from 1 species
GAGGAGAUAAGGGAGCCUGUCACCUGAGUGGACUGUGCUGCCUGGGAAGCUUUGGAGGUGAAAUUGGGCAGGCACUGUGAGUACAGCCAGGCACCACCAUACCUGACAGUGGGAACACUUUAAAUGCAAGAAUUUCUUACUACUAUCCAUCCUCAUGUUCAUCGAUCCAUCCAACAAACAUGGGCUACCGGCAAUGCCAGACUUCAGGUGACGGUAUGCAGCUGACGUAAGACCAAGUCCUACCAUCCAGGAUGAACAGUGCAGCGUACACAAUUGCAGGUAUGAGUCAAGUUCUCUUGGGUGAGAGAAAACAAUACAAUGACCUUAGCCCUGGGGACAUGCAA